GAUGAAGAACGCAGCGAAAUGCGAUAAGUAAUGUGAAUUGCAGAAUUCAGUGAAUCAUCGAAUCUUUGAACGCACAUUGCGCCCGCCAGUAUUCUGGCGGCCAUGCCUGUUCGAGCGUCAUUACAACCCUCAGGCCCCCGGGCCUGGCGUUGGGGAUCGGCGGAAGCCCCCUGCGGGCACAACGCCGUCCCCCAAAUACAGUGGCGGUCCCGCCGCAGCUUCCAUUGCGUAGUAGCUAACACCUCGCAACUGGAGAGCGGCGCGGCCACGCCGUAAAACACCCAACUUCUGAAUGUUGACCUCGAAUCAGGUAGGAAUACCCGCUGAACUUAAGCAUAUCAAUAAGCGGAGGA
rnacentral:misc_RNA from 1 species